rnacentral:rRNA from 1 species
CCUACGGGGGGCAGCAGUGAGGAAUCUUGGUCAAUGGGCGUAAGCCUGAACCAGCCACGUCGCGUGAGUGAUGAAGGUUCUAUGGAUCGUCAACCUCUUUUAUAAGGGAAUAAAGUGUGGGACGUGUCCUAUUUUGUAUGUACCUUAUGAAUAAGGAUCGGCUAACUCCGUGCCAGCAGCCGCGGUAAUACGGAGGAUCCGAGCGUUAUCCGGAUUUAUUGGGUUUAAAGGGGGCGUAGGCGGCCUUUUAAGUCAGCGGGGAAAGUCUGUGGCUCAACCCUAGAAUUGCCGUUGAAACUGGGGGGCUUGAGUAUGUUUGAGGAGGGCGGAAUGCGAGGUGUAGCGGUGAAAUGCUUAGAUAUCACGAAGAACACCGAUUGCGAAGGCAGCCUGCCAAGCCAUGACUGACGCUGAUGCACGAAAGCGUGGGGAUCAAACAGGAUUAGAUACCCUAGUAGUC